UACGUAGGGCGCAAGCGUUGUCCGGAAUUAUUGGGCGUAAAGAGCUCGUAGGCGGUCUGUCGCGUCUGCCGUGAAAACCCGAGGCUUAACCUCGGGCUUGCAGUGGGUACGGGCAGACUAGAGUGCGGUAGGGGAGACUGGAAUUCCUGGUGUAGCGGUGGAAUGCGCAGAUAUCAGGAGGAACACCGAUGGCGAAGGCAGGUCUCUGGGCCGCAACUGACGCUGAGGAGCGAAAGCAUGGGGAGCGAACAGG
rnacentral:rRNA from 1 species